GUUGAGGAUUAACUUGUGGAUACUCCAUAGAUUAGGAUAGAAUAUCUCAUAGGUCUUGAACUUCUCAAGUUCAAUUAUCCUCCCACUGUCUCCUUCUUAGAAUUUUUUUUUCCCUAAACGGCAGCAUACCUAUUGACAAAACAUUUUUGUCAAGUAGUGUGGUAGAAGUAGUAUCACAUACUACUCUUAGAAUAAUCUAUAAACUAAUACAAAAUUUGAUCUAGCAC
rnacentral:lncRNA from 1 species